rnacentral:rRNA from 1 species
GACGAACCGUCCGAACGUUAUUCGGAAUCACUGGGCUUAAAGGGUGCGUAGGCGGCGUAGUAAGUAGGGUGUGAAAUCCCUCGGCUCAACCGAGGAACUGCGCCCUAAACUACUAUGCUUGAGGGAGAUAGAGGUGAGCGGAACUUAGGGUGGAGCGGUGAAAUGCGUUGAUAUCCUAAGGAACACCGGUGGCGAAAGCGGCUCACUGGAUCUCUUCUGACGCAGAGGCACGAAAGCUAGGGUAGCAAACGGG